ACCUUCACUUAGGCUUUUUUUGGGGACGUGGUUUGUAGCUGCGUUUGGGUGUUUGAUGAAAUAGCCAAACGUGGCGUUUUUGUUCUAAAACCCAUUUGGAAAGCUGGAUAAACGCCAUAUUGCAAUUUACGAUUAUACCCUCCAUUCACUUAGGGUUUGCUGAGACUAAACACUUCACCAUUUCGCAUCUCACGGCUCUUGUUCUUUUCUCUCUCUCAAAUCGUGUUCGCACUGCUACUGUGGACGCCGCAGAAAACUCGUUUCUAGCGUCGGCCAUUGACAUCGCCACCGACUUCCCUCUACCAGGUCGUCUUCCUCGGUUGAAGUACACAAUCAUGAAUUUCUUGUGAUCAGGCAAGGUAGCUUUUUCACCACCACUUGCGUGCCAGGCAGGUUUAAUCUUUAACAAUUGUAUUCAAAAACCCGUGGCACUGCCUCCGUUCAGGAUAGCGGAGAUUCGAGCUGCCAUUCCUUGCCAUUGCUGGGUCAAGAACCCAUGGCGAUCUAUCAGUUAUGUAAUUAGGGAUGUUAUUAUGGUUUUUGGAUUAGCUGCAUUGGCAAAUUUCUUUGAAAGUUGGGUUGUUUGGCCUUUUUAUUGGCCUGCCCCGGGGACCAUGUUUUGGGCACUGCUUGUUCUUGGUCAUGAUUGUGGCCACGGAAGCUUUUCCGAUGACUCUUUGUUGAACAGUGUUGUUGGACAUCCCCUGCAUUCGUCAAUUCUUGUGCCUUAUCAUGGAUGGAGAAUUAGCCACAGAACUCACCAUCAGAAUCAUGGACAUGUGGAAAAUGAUGAAUCAUGGGUACUGUUUUUAGAACGACUUUAAACAGUAAAUUGGGGCAUCGUUGACGGAACACAAAGACUCCGAUUGUCGUUGUCUCUGGCUCUAAAAGUAGUCCACUAUCAUGACUUGGCAGUUUGGAAGAAGUCCAUGGGAGAGAGAGAGGGAGAGGGGGAGAGAGAUGAAGGUCAAGAUCAUCAGACCCCUUUGGUUGAUUCUUCCAUCGACAAAACUGAUUGAUGUUUACUCAUUUGGGAUUGUCAUGUGGGAAUUGCUCACAGGAGACAAACCUUAUGCGAAUAUGCAUGGUGCUUCUAUAAUAGGGAUGAAUCACUGCUAUGUCAAGGACUUGCACUGAAUGAUGACUCGCAGGGACUACUAGCCAAACAUGAAUCUAUUGUCUCAGGAAUUUCUGCGAAAACAGAGAAACCGAAGCCUGGACCUGUUCAAGCACUAGUGAAUCUGGAUGCUCCUCUAAUUUAUAUUCUUUGCAGUAUUUGUGUUGGCUAAUAUCCCUGAUACAUCAGUUAUUGUUGGAAUUGGUCUUCUGAAAAUUAUAUUGGGUAUGGUUCAUAGAUAUCAAAACAUUAGUGUUUAUGUUUUGCACAAUUUUUUUAGAAAGCCAAUGGCUAGACAAUUGGGAAAUUAGAAUUAACUUUGGAAGACUUAUGCAAUGGAUAUCUAGAACUUGAGUGAGUUUAUUCUCAUUCUAGAACAGAUGCUUUGACUUUCUAUUUUGUUGAAUUAGUGGGGUUCUUUCCAAGGAUUUUGUAUUUUUCUGUUGCUGUAUUCUGGAACUUACAUUCUACAGGAGAGAGAGUCAAUUUUUGUUUUAAGACAAUUCUAAUUGCCUUCUAUAUUAGAUUGUUGUUGGAUGA